rfam:Sarcophilus harrisii ctg7180002291816, whole genome shotgun sequence.
UAUCUUACAGUUCUCCUUCAUUUACUUUCUUCAUCCCCUACAUAUUCUUUCACUUUAACUUUCAAAUAUCUAUGCAAGUGCAUUCUUGAAUCAAAGAAGAAUAAAUGAAUACUGUAUUCUCACUGGGUCAAAAUCAAGAAGUGUAGGCAGUUUCUACUACUACUGCUAUUGCUGCCUGACAUAUGAUUUGGAAAAU